CCUACGGGGGGCAGCAGUGGGGAAUAUUGGACAAUGGGCGAAAGCCUGAUCCAGCCAUGCCGCGUGUGUGAAGAAGGCCUUCGGGUUGUAAAGCACUUUCAGUGGGGAAGAAAGCCUUGGGGCUAAUACCCUCGAGGAAGGACAUCACCCACAGAAGAAGCACCGGCUAACUCCGUGCCAGCAGCCGCGGUAAUACGGAGGGUGCGAGCGUUAAUCGGAAUUACUGGGCGUAAAGCGCGCGUAGGCGGUCUGAUAAGCCGGUUGUGAAAGCCCCGGGCUCAACCUGGGAACGGCAUCCGGAACUGUCAGGCUAGAGUGCAGGAGAGGAAGGUAGAAUUCCCGGUGUAGCGGUGAAAUGCGUAGAGAUCGGGAGGAAUACCAGUGGCGAAGGCGGCCUUCUGAACUGACACUGACGCUGAGGUGCGAAAGCGUGGGUAGCAAACAGGAUUAGAUACCCUUGUAGUC
rnacentral:rRNA from 1 species